UUGUUUUUUGUAGAAUUCAUCAGCAGCUGUGGAGAGAUGAAUUUGAAUAUCUUCUGGUUCCACUUUUCCUAACCUGGAAGCUGAGGAUUGCUGAUUCCUGACAAGGACACACACCUCAGCGCUUAUCAUGGAUGUUACAUCCUCCAUGCAGCAAUUCCAGAGAGAGAGAGAGAGCGCAACGACCACUCAUUAAGAUCAGCCAGAAAUCUGUCCCUUUCUGGCAGCUGUGAAAACUAAUAAUAAUAAGAACGUUUACAUUCUUAGAACAAUGCUGGGUCAUGUAUGAUGUGUCAUCGUAUGGGAAUAUUACAUUUUCACUUAAUUCUGCUCAAUUAAGUGUUUUGAUCAUUGAUCAAAUAUGGCAUCUUUGUGCUGUGCUGCAAGUUAAAACCCAUUGUCCUCAUGAGCACAGCAUCUAGCACUCCCCUUAAAAAAGUUGAUUGAAUUCAACUGGACACAAUGGUUUUCAGUGGGAGAUACAUUCAUCACUCAUCUGUGACACUGGAGAAGUCACUUGGAUGAGUACCUGAACAAUUUUCCAUGGAAACAUCCAGAGGAACUAAACUUUGUGGUAAUGUUAAAGUCAAAACACAGAGUUGACGUUACCUGUCUUGAAAAGCACCACCUAGAGGCAGUGGGAGGAAAGGGGUGGAAGUGCAACCUGUUACCUGGCCAAUGAUGUAACAGGUGAGUUCAUGUGUAAUCCAGUCACAAGGUCAUACGGUGAACCACACAAGAGGCCAGAGGUCCAGAAUUCCACCGUGGAGUUCAUCGCCCCUCAGACUACAUGUUGCAACCUCCUCAGCUGGCGGUCUACCUGUUUGUGCUCGGUGUGUCUCACAAUGCUGUGGAAGCGGGAUACCUGAAGUACUUCUCUGAAUCACUUCUUAAGAACCUGGAUUGGUUGCUUGGGGACUCACGUACCAGGAUGGGCUUCCUCACCUUUGAUAGCACCAUCCACUUUUACAAUCUCCAGGAGGGGCUAACCCAUGCUCAUGGUGUCACACAUCGAUGUUACAUCUGUUAAAUUAGUCAAGAAGUCUUUUUUAAAAUUAAACAUAAUGUCACAAAAAAGUCGACAAUCUUAAAUUAUUUAGUUUCAUUUACAGACAAGUUGUUUGAUUAGGUGCAGAUGUGCAUAAAUAAAGCAUUUCUAUGGAAUCAUAGGAAUCAUAAUCAAAUGGAAAAAGUCUCUUUUAGUUUUAAUCUUUUAAUUGUAUGCACAUUACAUCAACCAAA